UACGAAGGGAGCAAACGUUGCUCGGAAUUAUUGGGCGUAAAGCGCACGUAGGCGGCUUGGCAAGUCGGAUGUGAAAUCCCUCGGCUCAACCAAGGAAGUGCAUCCGAAACUGCUGAGCUUGAGUACUUAAGAGGAUCGCGGAAUUCCCGGUGUAGAGGUGAAAUUCGUAGAUAUCGGGAGGAACACCAGUGGCGAAGGCGGCGAGCUGGGAAGAUACUGACGCUGAGGUGCGAAAGCGUGGGGAGCAAACAGG
rnacentral:rRNA from 1 species